ACGCUCGACACCUACGGGAGGCAGCAGUGGGGAAUAUUGCGCAAUGGGGGCAACCCUGACGCAGCAACGCCGCGUGAUUGAAGAAGGCCUUCGGUUGUAAAGAUCUUUAAUCAGGGACGAAAAAUGACGGUACCUGAAGAAUAAGCUCCGGCUAACUACGUGCAAGCAGCCGCGGUAAUCUGAGCGGGCUGGCAAGGC
rnacentral:rRNA from 1 species